GUAAAUUUGUAUUUGCUCGGGUCUAUCCCAAACUGAGACAAAUCUAUCUGUCCUGUCCGAAGAACGUAAGUAAACGAAUCUACUUGUUGACGGAAAGGUGGGCUUUGUAACAGCUCCAAUAUAUCCUCAGGAGACCAUGGACCCUCAGGUAAAUACGAUACUAAACUCUGUUCCAAUGGUAACGUUUCCAGCAAUGGCAUUAUCAGAUCAGGCUUCAAUAAAUCUCCUAAUCCAAAACCUGCAUCUGGAUCAACAUCAAUAUCAGACGGCUCGAUGUUACUUAAAAUUCUUUGCAGGUCUUCCAACUUCACUGGUCGUAGUGAGGAGCUCGAUGGGAUAUUUUCUUCGACUGUGCCUUCUGAAACUUGUAGAGGAGUGGAAGCAACAGGCUGUUCUUCUUCCUCAAGGAACUCCAGUGGCCGGUUAAUGUAGUCAUUAACAGAGAUGCACAACUGCUGGUCAUCUUCAGCUUUGGGCUCCUGCAUCCAAAAGAAGAACUUCCUGUCAUCUGUUUUAAACUUCAAUAAGUAAACUCUUCCUGACGCUUGAUUAACCUUCUCAAAAACUGCUUCAUCAGGAAAAACAAUCUGAUCAUCUUCAAUGACAUUUUGUAUCCGAUCAAGCCAUUGAAUGUGCAGCAAUCCCUCCUCACCCCUUCCAAUACGAACAAGACCUUUACGUGUAUCAGGUACGACCCUUUUUCCUUCAAAACACAUUUUUCCAGCACGAAAUUCCAGAAGUAUUUCCUGCAUUACCGGAG
rnacentral:misc_RNA from 1 species